rnacentral:rRNA from 1 species
GACAGAGGGUGCAAACGUUGUUCGGAAUUACUGGGCGUAAAGCGCGUGUAGGCGGCCAAGCAAGUCGGAUGUGAAAGCCCUCGGCUCAACCGGGGAAGUGCACUCGAAACUGCAUGGCUAGAGUCUCGGAGAGGAUCGUGGAAUUCUCGGUGUGAGAGGUGAAAGUUCGUAGAUAUCGAGAGGAACACCGGUGGCGAAGG